rnacentral:rRNA from 1 species
CCCCUAGAUGUUCUGGGCCGCACGCGCGCUACACUGAACAGUUCAACAAGUCUUAACCUUGGCCGAUAGGUCUGGGUAAUCUUUGAACGCUGUUCGUGAUUGGGAUAGACCUUUGCAAUUAUGGGUCUUCAACGAGGAAUUCCUAGUAAACGCAAGUCAUCAGCUUGCAUUGAUUACGUCCCUGCCCUUUGUACACACCGCCCGUCGCACCUACCGAUUGAAUGGUCCGGUGAAAUCUCCGGACUGGCGUGAGUCGGAGCAAUCUGACAAACGCCGGAAAGUUGAUUAAACCUUACCAUUUAGAGGAAGGUGAANUCGUANCA